rnacentral:rRNA from 1 species
GAUGAACGCUGGCGGCGUGCCUAAUACAUGCAAGUCGAGCGAACAGACGAGGAGCUUGCUCCUCUGACGUUAGCGGCGGACGGGUGAGUAACACGUGGAUAACCUACCUAUAAGACUGGGAUAACUUCGGGAAACCGGAGCUAAUACCGGAUAAUAUAUUGAACCGCAUGGUUCAAUAGUGAAAGACGGUUUUGCUGUCACUUAUAGAUGGAUCCGCGCCGCCUUAGCUAGUUGGUAGGGUAACGGCUUACCAAGGCAACGAUGCGUACCCGACCUGAGAGGAGGCUAGGCCACACUGGAACAGAGACACGGACCAGAGUAAUGAGGGGGGCAGUAGUGGGGAGGUUUGGAGAAUGGGCGAAAGAUGGAUACAUGCAUGAAGAGUGUGGGAAGAAGGUAUUAGGAUUUUAAAGCACUUUUAUUUGGGAGGAAGGAAAGUAAGUGAAUACCUUGCUGUUUUGACGUUACCAAAAGAAUAAGCACCGGCUAACUUCGUG